AAGGCUUUAAGUUAAUCAAACUAAUAACCUUCAAAGCUAUAAAUAAAGAUAUCUUUAAGCCUUA
rnacentral:tRNA from 1 species